GGCGCCCCGCGCCCCCGGGGCUGUGCUCGGGGGGCUGAUCCCGGGCCCCCGGCCGGAGGGGAAGUCCUCCCUGCGGCGGGCGGCCGCCGAGGGGGAAGAUUCCACACAUUCCUGGGCGCGCAGGAGGACGCGGCCGCGGGUGCCCCACUGAGCCUGGAAACGCUGCAGGAUCGCCCGGCCUUAUAAGGGCGGCGCGGCCCGGGCCCGCGGCGCUGCGAGGCGGGGGUCCGCGGCCUGCCCUCCCCGGUCCCAGCCCGGGCGGUGCACGACCCUGGGCCAGUCACUUCAACGCUCUGUGCCUCAGUUGCCCUGCGGGUGAAGCGGAUUUAAGGUUGUGCUGAGGAUUCCAGUUAACUCCCAGAAGGGGCUUAGUGAGUGCCUGGCGAGUGGCAAGGGUUCAAUAAAUGUUGCCUUCACCAGCUUUCUAUAGCAUCACAUAAUUUGAAGCUCUGCAUCGUGGCAUGCUGUACGUACUGUAGAAACUUUCCUACGGUGAAGACCAGCACUUGAGCUUUACCGUUUAUAGAAUCUAAGACACAAUCAACUGGAAGACGAAGCACGAUUUCAGGUGCCGCUGAGAAACAGUGCUGCCCGCUCACCUAUGUAACUGAAUUGUUGGCUAUGACCUGAUUUCAGCAAUGGUACGGUGUGCAUCUUAGACUCAGUGAACUGUAGUGGUUGCCCCCUUAUCUCUGACAAGUGGCUGAAUGGGCCAGGAGCCUGCUGGGUUUUCAGGUCGCUGCCCUCUGGUUUGGAGUGAACCGUCCACAUGGGUGGCUGACGAAGCAGCAGCCUUACGUGCACACUGCCUUGAUGGGCCAAGGGCCCCCCGCUCCCCCCGCCGGACACGGGCACAGUUAGCAGAUGGAGAAAGUAGCAGAGCUUGAGACAUUCAAGAAAAAGCUCAGCUCUGAUGCCUAACGGGCAAGUGGAACCUGGGGAGGCAAGGGAACUCAUCUGAGUGGGGAAAGUCUGGGCAUAUUCUGCUCCUGAGCUGUAGGCUCCUGGAGGGCCCAUGAUUGGAAGGGGAGGAGGUGAGGAAGGAAUCUCCUCUAGAGAUGAGAAGGAAGGCCAGGCUCUUCAGAGGGAGGGAUAGGACGGUGGGAGGCAGGGUCAAGAAGGAGGGUAGGAAGCAUCAUCCUUCCAAAGGCCUGGCCCCGGCUGAACCCCCAAAAAGCCAGGAAGGGGGUGGGAAUGGGAACCCUUUUCCCAAGGGCGGGAAAAGCCCAGAACAUUUGCUGUGGCAUAGUUGUCUCUAAAAGGUGUGUCCCAAGUCCCCUGGGCUUGAGGAGAUAAUGGGAUCCUAGAGCUAGGGACAACCUCAGCUGAUCCUCUCUCGGUUCUUUGCCAAAGGAGGAGAAUGUCUCAAUUCUGUCAGCAAUGUCUUAAAAAUAUAUCCAGGGUCUGACCACUGUUAGCCUCCCAUGAACUCAGGUUUGGUUGCCUGUGACACAGACUCUGCGCUGGUGGGGUUUGCGAGCAGGACCUGGUGUACUGGGGAGGGCUCUCAGGCCCUAUGCCAAGGGAAGGGAGAAUGAAGUUGAGCUGCCAUGCAGACCUCACCGACCCCUCAGGACCUCCAGAGAGGGGUGGCCCCUGGAGGUGUCCUGAAUGCAUCGACCAGUGUUUGCCUUCAAGAUGGGUAUAACCUUGCGCCCGGGGGCUCCCUUGGGCCAGGAGCAGCAUUCCAGCACUCGGAGAAUAAGUGCCUCCCUCUACCACAUCACCCCUGCCCCUCCUGGCCCAAGAUCACGAGCCUGGCCCCCAAUUAGCAGUCACACUCCCAGAAGCCCAUGUCCACUGUGAUCCAGGACCCUGCCCUCCGGGGCCAUCAGCUUCUGUUUUGUUCAGCCAACACAUAACCUACCUCUCUCUGCUCUUCCUCAAAUGCGCCAGGGGCCCCUGCUCAGGCCUUUGCCCUUAGAAUGCUGCACCCCUACACAUCCCCGUGGCUGGUUCUCUCACUCUCUCAGAUCUGUUAAAAACUGUCCUCUUCAUGAGGCCUUUCUGAGCGUCCCUACCUAAAUGUCCCCCACCCACCUAACCCGCCGUCAUGCGCUGAAUUGUGUCACUCCAAAUUCACAUUCAGCAUGUGACUGUGUUUGGAGACGGGCCCUUUAAAGAGGCGAUUCAGCUAAAAUGAGGUCACAUGGGUGGGCCCUAAUCCAAUCUGUGUCCCUAUAAAAAGAGGAGAUUAGGACACGACCCGCACAGAGGGAAGACCGAGCGAAGCCACAGGGAGAAGACGCAGACUUGCCAACACUGAUCUCCGACUUUCGGCCUCAGGAACCUUGAGAAAUAAACUUCUGUUGUUUAAGCGCACCGUCUGUGGAACUUUGUUCGAGUGGCCGAGCCAACGAAUACACUCUCAUGAGAUAAGUCUUCUUCCCUGCUCAAAUUUUCUCCUUAGCACGCGUCCCUCUCUAAGAAACCGUUUGUUUAUUUACUUACUUGUGUCUGUCACCCUCCUCCCACUGUGUCAUAAGCUCGCCGAGCAGGGAUGCUUUCGUCCGAUUUGUUCCAGGCAUGUCCCCGGUCCGAGAACGGUGCCUGAUUCCUCGUGGGAGCCAGAGAAGCCAGUCCAGUGAAGAAAUGAAUCCUUAGUACCCUGUCGUCCUGUGAGGGCGGGGGAUUCGCAGCUCGGUGGUCGUCCAUUGCAGUGAUUCUUACCCCGGCUGAUGAAUUUAGUGAACAAAUAUUUUCUGAGCACCUACUGUGCGCCAAGGAUUGUUCUAGACACUGGGGAAACCGCCACAGCACACAAAGCAAAGUCCCUGUCACAGAGGGGACAUCAGACAAACAAAAUGCAUAACAUGCUAGGUGGUGAUAGUGCUGCAGAGGACAGGAGUGUGCUGGGGGGGGCAGUUUUAAACGGGGGUCAGUGGGGCCCUCGUUGAGAAGUGACGUCAGAGUUAGGGACUGACGUCAUCCAGGGAAUGAGCCCCGCGGGUGUCUCAGGAAGGGCGUUUCUGGUGCCAGGAACAGCCAGUGCAAACCCCUGAGGAGGGAGUGCCUGGACGGGGGAGGGGGAGGGGACGUGGGCCCCGGUGACCCUGAGAGGUGGGAGCAGAGCAGUGACAUGCUCAGGUACGGUUUUCAUCAGACCAUCCCAGGGUCUGGAAUGUUGAAACCUGAGUGCAGGGCAGAGGGAGGGAGAGCAGGGAGCAGAGAGGGAGGCCACUGCUGGUGGUGCCCCGAGGAGGGUGGGAGCAGGGUGGAGAGAAACGGUCCUAUCCUGCGUAGGCUUUUGAAGGGUGAGCCAAUGGGUUUUGGUGUUAGAGCAGAUAAAAAUAUGCGUGAAAAGACAGGAGUUUGGACAACCCCACGCUUUUGGCCAGAGCAAGAUGGCACUGCCGUCAGAUGGGGGCAGCGGAGGGAGGUGGCUGGGCCAUGUGACUUUGGGAUGGCCUAUUGCAAGUGCAGGCGGAGGUGUCGCGUGGGCGCUAGGUCACGCAAGCCUGUUGUCCGUGGGCGCGGGCUGGGCGGGGAUGUAAAUAUGGAGGCUAUGGGCAUCCCGAUGGCAUUUAAAGCCUGGGGCCUGGAUGAGUCCGCCAGAGGCUGGGAGCUGGCCUGUGCCACUGAGUGGGGGGACGCCCGUGAGGUGGGAGGACAGCCGGCCGUGAUAGGGUCCUGGAGUCCAAGGGAAGGAAGCGUCUCAAAGAGCAGAUGGCAGAGGCUGCAACGGGUUCGGCAGGACGAAGACUGGUCCUUGGGGUCCAGCCAGGUGCAGGUCACUGCCGCCCCGAUGGAAGCACUUGCAGAAGAUGGGUGGGGAUCCAGUGGUUCUUCUUUACAUCUCGAUUCUUCCUGCUUUACCCUCUGUGUGCCUGAGGAUCGAGUUAUCGACUUCAGAGGACUAAAAGCACACAGGAAACUUGGGGAGGCAGUGACUCUGAACCCCCUUAGCUUCCCCGGCGAAACCCUCCAGGCUCCUGUGACUGCUCCCCAUACCUCCUGGUCUCCAUCACUCUCGUCACACUCAUUGCUUUCUUGGGCUGGCUUCCAGGUUCCCCACUGCUGAAAGCCUGGUGAACACUCCAGACACACUUCUCUGGCGAGGCUCUGGUUGGCAUGGAGCAUAAUUAAGGGGAUGACGGGACUCUGCUGAGUGUGGUCCCUGUGGCGUCAUCCGCAGGUUGCUUUGCCCUCUGUAUUAUCUGUAGCCCGGGGGGUGGAGAGGUGGAAGAUAUAGAAGCUUGAGCAGAUUCUGUCUCAUGGGUGUGGUGUGUGCUUCCCAUCAGGAAGCAUCCGUCUGGUUGCUCCUCUUGGUGACUCCUCUUGGUGACGUAGCGACCCCUGGCCCUCCAUGCUGUAAUCCUUGCCAACAGUUACGUUCUAUUCUCUCACUCCUUCUUCAUUUGUAGCCAAAAUUCUUCUAGAAACAGAAAAUUCCCAUCGACUCUAUGUCACCCAGUGGGCACACAAACAAAACAGGCAGAAUAGGAUUCUUUUCCUUUAUUUACUAGCGUUCAAAUAAUGACCGCGAAUUGGUCCAUUAACAUCCUCCAAUGGUGACCAAUGAGUUUGUCUUCCCAAGUUUGUCAUUCCCGUCCAUUGUGGUUUUAUCCUUAGUGAUGCUCAGAAAGUUCCCUCCUAGGCCAGCUUUCUUUCUUGAGCCUUCACCCUUCCCAGAGCUCUGACCCCACAAUUUCCCCGCCACGUCUCCCUGCCCUUUCCCUUGCUAGCAGUUCACUCUCUGAAUCCUUCACGCAUCUGGGCUUGACUUGGCUGCCUUCACAGACAAAAUCACGUAGGAGUCCAAGGCAAGAACAAUGCAGCCCAACGGCCUGGGUAUGAAGCCUGGAUCUACCCUUUCUCUCUGCUGGGCAAUCUUGAGCAAUUUACUUCCCUUCCUGGUGCCUCAGAUGCCUCAUCUUUUGUAAGGACUUACGAGAAGGAAGAUGCACGGAAGGUUUGGGACAGUGCUGGGCCGGAGCGGGCACUAGGGAGGUGCUAGCCAUCAGUCCGCGCGUCCCCCACUAUCCCACUGGCUCCGCAAAGCUAGGGUGUGUCUGUACAGUUACUAUUGGACACCCGGCACCUGGUGUUCAAGGAGUCCUUGCUGAGUGGAGAAUGAGGGCGUAGGAACAGCUGCUUGGAGCUGGCUGGGAAACUGAGCCUCUUAAGGAGACACGGGGGCUGCUGUGGCAGCUCAGAUGAUACAUGCCUUUGUCUUUCAUUCCCGGAGUCCAGAAUCGAAAUACCGAUGCACAAGGUACUGAUAACACGGGAGAAACAUUGAGCGGUUACAGGGAUCGGGGCAGUAGGAGGGUGGUUCUGUAUUCACUGUCGUAGGCAGCCCACAGCCCAGGAAAACUGGGCUGCCAUCUGCUUGAGCUGACAUUUACCGGCUGCGAGGAAAUGAAGUGAGCUCCUGUCUCGCUCUCUGCCGGCUUCGGGGCAGAAACAGCUGUGCGUCCGGGCCGCCGCCCCCACCCCCCGGGCUCUCCUGGCCUGUGGCUCAGCUCCCUGGAGCGCUGGCCUGGCUCCAAAGCAGUGGGCUGGGUGUCAGGCAGCCUUCAGAGGAGGGUGGUUGGAGGCUCAUUAUUAUCGUUGCGAAGAAGGAAUAUACGCCACUGUAUCUAUCUAUCUACACUCACCUGCACACACAGGGCUGCACUUAGCCCUGAGGUCCAGGGAGCUGGGUACAGGCUUGUUUGCUUUUUCUCAUAGCUCACCUCAAGCAGCGUGGCCUCUCGGAGCCCCAGAGCCGGCCCAGACACAGUUCAACCUCCCCCAGCAGAGCGAGCCCGGCCGCCGGCUCCCGCACGGACAGCUCUGCAAAUCCAGAUGCCCCAGUGAUUCUGACGCUCUCCCACGUGUUUGUGCGGCACCUGCCCUCUCUGCCCCCAGGUCCGGGGCGGCUUCCUUCCCUCCCUUCCUUCUCCUAUAGAAGGUCAACAACACGGGCUGCUUCCAUGGGUUGAAACAGAGACUGCUUGCGUGGGCACCUGGGGGCUCUGGGGACCCGGGGAGCUUUCUUCCCUUCUGUGGCCACGGCCAAGCUCCGCACACAGGUAUACCAGCUGCCAGUCGGGCCUGCAUCCAGCAUCACAGCUGGAAAAACCACCCACCCAAAGCACACCUGUCCCAGGUCGGGGUGUGGGGCCUUUCAGAUGCCACAAACAGCUAGCGUCUGUCGGUUCCAUUCCAUACUCAGGGAGCACCUCCCCGCGGCAGGACGAUGAUCUGGACUGGAUUCUGGCUGCUCAGUCACUGUCAGCUCCAUGGUUCUGACAGCCAAGGUCUUUCUCCUGUACCCCUCCUAUGCCUCCCACUAGAGCCAGGCAAACAGCUGGCUGGGGGAAGGGGGAGGAAGUGGGGAGGGCCACAUUCCCACUCAGGAGGAGGCUCAGGCCUCUGGAAUGUGCUCCCACCUCGGCGGAUGGGCAGGCCUGUUUCCGUUCCAUCCUUGACCCUCCUCUGAAAUACCUCCUUUCUGAGUGGGUUCCAGGAUCCAUAGAUAGAGAAAAUGCCUGUAUCAUCGUCACUCCAGGGAGCAGGGGAAAAAGUUACGGGGGGUAAGUUUUAGUUCAACGUUCAGAAGAUUUUUCGAGCAAUUCGGGGUCAAAAAGGAAAAAGGCUGCCUGUGUACAAGUAAGUUCCCCAUUUCUGGAGGAAUGCACGUGGGAGGCUGGGUAAUGACCCCUCCUGUGGGUGUGUGAGAAAGGAAACACUUCCUUGAUGGGUGUAUUUUUCUGCAUGUUUGAAAACUUCCAAAAUAUUAAUUUGUAAUGGAGAUAAAAUGAAAUAAAAUUAAAAAUUAAAAAAUUUAAAUUAUAUAAAUGAAAUAUGCAUCUACAACUAUGCUAUUUUUCUGUACGUUUAAAAAUUAUUGAAAUAGAAAUUCUUUUUUUUUUAGAUUUAUUUAUUUAUUUGAGAGAGAGAGAGUGCGAGCAGGGGCAAGGGCAAAGGGAGAGAGGAAGAUAAGCAGACCCCCUGAUGAGUGGGGAACCCGACAUGGGGCUCAGUCCCAGGACCCCGAGAUCAUGACCUGAGCUGAAACCAAAAGUCACGUCACUUAACCGACUGAGCCACCCAGGCGUCCUGAAAUAGAAAUUCUUAAAACAUUUGCUCUUAAAUUUUGCUUUGUCAUACAAUUCGUUUUUCAAAGUACAGUGAAAUUUCGGAUCAUUACAUGGUCAUUCCCUUUUGAAUAAAAUUAGUUCUAUCUUCCAGUAAUAAUAUAUUGUAGCCAGUGUGUCAGGGGUACUUUGGAAGGCUUUGGCUGGAAGCAACAGAAAACUCAACUCUAAAAGUCUUAGAUGAACCAGGACUCUCAAGGCAAUCACAAAGUAGAAAGGACAGGAAUGACUUCUGAUUUGCUACAAGACACUGAAGCCCUGAUAGCUUGCUAUUAGACACCAGCUCUCCGGACUUCUCACCCUGUGUUUUUUUCUGUUGGCUACACUGCCUCUGAUUUCAUAUUUUCUCUCUUGGAGAGAACCUGUUUUUCCACUGCGCUGCUGACGAAUUGAGCAGGCCUAGUUUGCUGAGUAAGGCCCCGAUCAUGGGUCUUUCCAGCAUCGCUCUAGAAACAGGAGGUCACCUUGUCACUGUACUUGCAGACAUGUCUCUACAGGGAGCAUGGAAGACAAAGCUCGCAACUCAAUAAGUACGACAGCCUUUCUCAGAUCAACCUACGUGACUGUUUCAGCCACAAAACCGAACAUGAAUCAAUGAGAACUAAGAAAGGAUCUGUCGCAGCUUCGUGAGCAAGACAGAAAGUAAAAGGGAGCUGUGACCCAGGGUCAGCUGGCUCCUAUCCCCUCUUAGGUCCUUAUUUCUGGAGUUUCCCAAAGGAUCCCUUGUUAAAGGAAGUAUUCUGUUUGCUUCUCAAUAAAGACAAGGCUUUUUCUUUUUCUUUUUUUUUAAAGAUUUAUAUAUAUUUUUUAAAGAUUUAUUUAUUUAUUUAUUAGUGCGAGCGUGCACACUAGUGGGAGGAGCAGAGGGAGAGACAGAGAACCCUCAAGCAGACUCCCUGCUGAGUGCGGAGCCCGACGCAGGGCUCGAUCCCAGGACCCUGAGAGCAUGACCUGAGCCAAAACCAAGAGUCGGAUGCUCAGCCGACUGUGCCUCCCAGGCGCCCCAAGACAUGGCUUUUGACCUAUAAAAAUACCCCAGAGUUUGUGCUCCUAAGCAUAUUUAUGUUAGCAAUCACUGGUGACCCCCCCAUCCGGCUCCCCUGUAGCCUCCCGGGCAGCAAUGUAUCUGCAGUCAGAGAAGGGUUUCCAAGCUCCACCUGCUUCCUGCCUUCCACCCAGGACACUCCCCGGGCCUGCACGGAUUUAUUUAAACAAUAAUAGGGAUGAGA